AGAACAUGCUUAAGAAUCAUGCUGGCCCUGUGAUGGGCCUUCAUAGAACUUCGAGGAGCUGGUGUGACUUGGAGGGCAGCUGUUCUGGUGCUGUUCUGCUGUAUGAGAAAUCCUGUUUGGUGAGAAGAUGUCAGAGCUGCCCUUGGCAUGAAGCUGCUGGGUGUCCAGAAAAAUCAAGUUACAUUGAAAUCACCAUGGGAAAUCGGUGA
rnacentral:lncRNA from 1 species